rnacentral:rRNA from 1 species
GAUGAACGCUGGCGGCGUGCCUAAUACAUGCAAGUCGAGCGAACGGACGAGAAGCUUGCUUCUCUGAUGUUAGCGGCGGACGGGUGAGUAAUACGUGGAUAACCUACCUAUAAGACUGGGAUAACUUCGGGAAACCGGAGCUAAUACCGGAUAAUAUUUUGAACCGCAUGGUUCAAAAGUGAAAGACGGUCUUGCUGUCACUUAUAGAUGGAUCCGCGCUGCAUUAGCUAGUUGGUAAGGUAACGGCUUACCAAGGCAACGAUGCAUAGCCGACCUGAGAGGGUGAUCGGCCACACUGGAACUGAGACACGGUCCAGACUCCUACGGGAGGCAGCAGUAGGGAAUCUUCCGCAAUGGGCGAAAGCCUGACGGAGCAACGCCGCGUGAGUGAUGAAGGUCUUCGGAUCGUAAAACUCUGUUAUUAGGGAAGAACAUAUGUGUAAGUAACUGUGCACAUCUUGACGGUACCUAAUCAGAAAGCCACGGCUAACUACGU